GCCCCUUCAGCCGACCUCCGUGCUGAAGACCAUCCCCAUUGCCUGGCCCUUCGCAGUUUGGGGCUUGGACAUGGUGGGACCUUUCCAGACGGCCCGAGGCGGCCUAACUCACUUGCUUGUCGCAGUGGACAAGUUCACCAAGUGGGUGGAAGCAAAGCCCAUCAAAAAGUUAAACGGGCCUACAGCAGUGACCUUCAUUGCUGACAUCACAGUACGGUAUGGCAUACCACACAGCAUCAUCACAGAUAACGGCACCAACUUCGCCAAAGGCGCCCUGGCUCGAUUCUGCGCGACGCAGGGCAUCCGACUAGACUUAGCGUCCGUUGCCCAUCCGCAGUCAAACGGCCAGGUGGAACGAGCUAACGGCCUCAUCCUGUCCGGCAUCAAUCCUCGAUUGGUCGAACCACUCGAGCGCUCGGCCGGCUGCUGGGUCGAAGAGCUGCCUGCCGUCCUCUGGAGUCUGCGCACGACCCCAAACAAGUCAACCGGCUUCACGCCUUUCUUCCUCGUCUACGGUGCCGAAGCCGUCAUUCCGACGGAUAUACAAUUCGACUCUCCACGAGUCUCCAUGUACACCGAGGAGGAAUCUGAAGAAGCACGCCAAGACGGUGUCGAUCUGCUGGAAGAGGGCCGACUGUUGGCACUCAGUCGGUCCGGCAUCUACCAGCAGAGUCUGCACCGAUACUACAAUCGCAAGGUCAAGCCAAGAUCACUCCAAGAGGGCGACCUUGUGCUCCGGCUGAUUCAGAGAACAGCCGGCCAACACAAGUUGUCGGCGCCUUGGGAGGGUCCCUUCAUCAUCAGCAAGGUGCUAGGGAACGACGCCUACUAUUUGAUCGACGCUCAGAAGCCUCGAGCACGCAAGAGGGGCGACUCCGGCAAAGAAACAGAGCGCCCGUGGAACGCGAAUCUUCUUCGAAGAUUUUACAGUUGAUGCAGUAUGUAUCGCGCUACCCCCUUUUGUAUUGAAAUACUAAGACCUUAGGCCUCCCGGGACGAGCUCGGGGACUGCCUUUUUGAUUAUCUGUAUGAUAUGGAUUACGCUUCCGAGUAUGCUUUCCCCUUUUAUCAUACUAUCUGGCACCGGGUCCGACUAGUCGGCCCGGGGACUCGCCACCUUGUGCUAUGAAAUGCUCCCUGAAGUCAGACAAGUAAUGUGCCGUGCUCAAAGCCGUCUCCUGCCGAAAGCCGCAGCUCACAGAGCGACUGUCGGUAAGCAGGGGACGGGAGAACGCGUGCACACAUGAAAAACGGCUAAGGACUUAAGAGCUACGCAUAGCCCAAGCCGGCUGCCAGCCUCCCAAUACCGAGCCGACUCGCGAGCAGUCGGCUCGCAAUCUCAAUUUUUAUCAAGGAUAGCCGACUCUCGAGAGUCGGCCUGUCGAUUUUCAGCCAACUCGCUAGGAUAUUCUAAACGACUAAGUACUUGCCUCCCUAAAGUAGCUGAGCACUUGACCCGGCGGCAGUCCGCAGAGCGGCUGCCCAGUCGGCAAGGCGAUGACUGAAGGAAGGCGGCAAAGGAAAAAGUCUAAAGAACUGAAGCAAGGAAAGGCGGAAAGUUGAUAAAUAUUUACAUAAGGCCCUUGGCCGAAUACACCCCGCGGGUGGAAUUGUUCGAAACUGACAAGUUUUUUUAAAAAAAGAACAAAAGAGACAGGUAGAACUGAAGCACUCUAGGGGGCGGCCUCCGGAGCCGGGGGGCCGGAGGUGGCGGCGGUGUCGGACGUCGGGGCAGUCGGCUGGGCGGUCUCGGCUUGGUCGCAUCCAGCGACGGUCGCCUUGUCCUUCUGAGGCUCGUUGCUGGAGGCACGAUCAGGCUGAGGCUGGCCGCCUGCUUCAUCCUCUGGAGCCUCCUCCUCGCCUCCGUCCUCCGACUCGUCCUCCUCCUCGGUGCUGGAGCCGAUCACCUCCGCCGAGUCCUCCUCGUACUCCGGGUGCAUCCUGAACCACUCCGGCGGCACCUCCUCGCCGCCAUCGGUCCGCUCGGGCACAAAGACACUGGUGUCCGUGUACUCGGCGAUGGCCGCCGCGCGCUCGACGAGGGCGCCUUCUACGGCCUCCAGCUCGGCCUGGGCCUCUGACCGGAACGCGGCCAGACGGUCCAGGUCCAGCCCCGGAUACCACCCUUUGACGAACUCCAAGGCCCGGCGUGCUCCGGCACGAGCCGAGGAGCCCCUCCAAGCCUCGAAGCGACCGGCGGCGACCUCCAGCCAGUCGGCCGUCCGGCUGGCGGUGCGAAGAGCUGGCACCUCCGGCCACAGGGCGGCAACGACUUGAGCGCCGGCACGUUGAAGACGGCGCAGCAGACGAUGAGCAGGACGAAGGCGAGCCCCGAUGCUCAGAAGCUGCUCGUCGAUGGUUCGGGGGGCAUUGGCGGCAAUCACUUCGCCCUUCGCCCUUCGCUCCUCCCGAGCCGCCUCGAUGGCCAGAGGAACGGCCUGCGAGUGGCCGGGAAAGAAGUCUGCCGAGACAGAAGAAAAGACAGUCAGAAAAACCCAAAAUCAGCCCGACACAGAGUCGGAAGACCGAAGAAGAGAAAAAAGAAUUACCGUCGAUGAUGUCCUCAAGCUCGUGGUAGCCGGAGGUCAGCAUCGCCUCCCGGUCGGUCCAGGCGGAGCGCUCGACCUCGAACUCGGCUAUGAGGGCAUCUUCCCGCGACUUGGCGUCUUCCUGCGCCUUCUGGAGCAGCUCUUUCUGCUCGGCCAGCUGCGUCGCCAGCAGGUCGCGCUCUUGGACGAGCUUGUCGCACUCCUCCUCCUUGGCGCGGCGAGUGGUGUUGGCCUCGUUCAUCUGCUCCUGGAGGGCGGCAUUGGCGUCUGAAGAGCGAGAGACAAGAACGUCAUCAGUAAAGAAGGUCGCCGGGGAGAUCCGGCCCGACUACUCAGUAGUCGGCCCGAAUCUCGGGGACUACGGCCCGCGGGCGCGCCAGCGCGCCCCCGCAGAGAAGAAAGAAGGAAGGUCGCCGGGGAGAUCCGGCCCGACUGCUCAGCAGUCGGCCCGAAUCUUGGGGACUACAGCCCGCGGGUGCGCCAGCGCGCCCCCGCGAAGGAGGAAGAAUUGGCUCACCUCGACUUUCCGUCAGAUCGGCGGUCCGCUUCCUCAGCUCUUCAACAUUGCGGUUGAAGGCGGUAGCGCGGAGAUUGUGGUAUUCCUGCAAAGCCGGCAAAGCAAAGUUAGCCUUCGAAGCUCGCCAGAAGGAGUUCCGAGUCGCCUGCUCAGCAGCCGACCCCGAACUCGGGGACUACACCCAGUGGGUGCGCUGGCGCACCCCCAUGGAAAAAGACAGAAACUAAAAAAAAGGAAAAAACGAAACGUACCCGGACGGAGGUCCGCAGGGCCAGAUGCGCCUUGGUGUAGAGUUGGAGGGUGUCGCCCUCUUUGCGCAGCUUCGACUGGACGUCCAGAAGAGCCUGGUUCAGAGGGCCGGUGCCGCCUUCGCGCAGCCAGCCGGUGGGCGCGGCACUUGAAGCCUCGACGUCCAAGUUCGCUGAGCUUGCAGCUGUUGACACACGAACACGUCACAUGUACCCUCGACGCCGGGGGUGAUGCACCGCAGCUCACGUCGAAGGAGACCCGACCGACAACGCGAUACGCAAGACAGUCGGCGGGUGCUUUUGCAGACCCGAAACCCCGCGCACCCGGGAGGGACCCCGUCAGGGAUUGCGGCGGCUAUGGGCUGCCCUAGGUCGAUUCGCUCGCCCCUAGAGCCUCGGGAUUCGCAGCUCUCAAACACGAAGAACAGCGAAGAACGAGAUAGAAAAACGGUGGAGAGAUAAAAAGUAGACAGGAAAAAGUAGUACAUUGAUUUGUUUGAUUGUGUGUUGUUCAAUCGGCCGUCACCCCCAACAUAUAUAAGAGGCGGCUGGACUUCCCGUACAAGUAAAGGAUUCAUCUAGGCUUUCCUUACAAGAAAAAUUACAUCAAUUCACGUCCUAGAGUCCUAGUUCUAUUCCAACUCGGAUCCAGUCUGAAUCUGGCCCAACUUCUGUCUUCCUCCUUGUGCAGGUCGCCGAGCCUCCAUAUGACCUCCGAUCAAGAUGGCCCAAAUAUCAAACUUGUGCGCCUCGACGAUACGAACAACUCUCAUGUUGAUCACUUUUUGAAAUAAGGCCAUCUUGAAUACUUUUCGAGGUCAUCUUUACCUUCCAGUCGGACUCGGUCUUGCGGUAGACUGAAUUAUCCGAGUCUUCUAGUGAAUUUGCAGGCCAUAUACUAUCUCUGAUGACGAUGACUCCAAAAGCAAAGUUUACCGUCUUGACGAUACGCACAACUUCUGUAUUGAACACUUCUUCAUCCGAGAUCAUCUUGAUAAACUUUUGGGCACAUGUUCAGUUUCACUCGGAUUUGAACUCAUCCACUCGGAUUUUAGAGUCUUUCACUUGGAUGGUCCGACUGGACUUUUUCACUCGGAUGACUAUAUUUUCACUCGGAAGACAAUCAAUUGGUAGGUUUUCACUCGACCUUUUACUCGAUCGGUAGGUUUUCACUCGACCUUUUACUCGAUCGGUAGGUUCUCACUCGACCGGUGACUCGAUCGGUAGGUUUUCACUCGACCGGUGAGUUUUCACUCGGAUGGUAAGCUUUCACUCGACCAAAAACAUAGCCUGAUCUUUAUUUGCCUCUCCAGGUUACAUACGACCUCGGAUUGAGACGAAUUUUAUAUGAAAAUCGAUCGGCUCGACGAGACGAAACUUUUUCUUGUUGAAGGUUUUUCGAUUCAAGGACUUCUUAAGGGCCUAAUUACUCGCGCGACCCAUCAGACAUGGCGUGUGAUACUUUGCGCCAGAUUUCCACUCAGCUUCGGCCUGCAGUGUAUUGCCUCUAACUUUUGCAUAUGAACUCGGAUUGAGAUGAUUUAUAUAUCAAAAUCGAUCGCCUCGACGAGACGAAGACAAUUCCUUUAGAAUACUCCUUCAUCCGAGGUCGUCUUAAGGGCAUGAUCGGCCGAAAACUACUCGGAAUGUUGAAUUUUGUCACUCGGAGUACAACUUCGGCCACCGAGAUAAGGUCGAAUGGCGAUAAGUUAAACACCAAAGUUAUUCCACUCGGCGACCUGAAACUUUGCAUGCCGAAAACUCUUUUACUUGAGGCCACCUUACUUGACUUUUGUACCUUGCCAAAAUCCGAUGUCAACACAUGCCCCCCUUGUUUUUCGGCAAAGCUUGCAUGCCGAAAAAUAAUAUGCACUGUGUUUGUUCUAAGGACGAUGUCAACGCUCCAUCGGCCAUUUAUUUUUCUCAGGGCGAUAAUUAUGUAUCGGCCAUGUUUGUGCUAAGGGCGAUAAUUGUAUAUCGGCCAUUGCCUACUCAGGCUUCCUGCCACACACUCGGGUGGUACUUCUUCAAAUAUUUUCCGUUGAGAGCUCGAGGUAACAAUGCCCCUUGUAUUGAUUCCACCAAAUAUGAAUUUCCGGGAACAACCCUUGUAAUCCUAAAAGGACCUUCCCAACUUGGAGACCACUUCCCAAAUUUUCUAUCUCUUGAACCAAUCGGCAGAAUCACUUUCCAAACGAGAUCACCAACUUGAAAAUUCUUCAACUUGACUUUCUUAUUGUAAGCUCUUGCUACCCUCAACUUAUCUCUCUCUAUGGACUCCAAAGCAACCAAACGUUUAUCGGCAACCUCAUCAAUAUUGUCCAUCAUUAAGUUAUAAAAGUCUACUGCCGAUAAAUCAUUUUGUUUGGCUAUUCUCAAAGCAUUCAAAUUUACCUCCACUGGUAAAACAGCCUCCUGACCAUAUACUAGCUCAUAUGGAGUCAUCUUCGUAGCAUCAUGUCUUGAAAUUCUGUGUGCCCAUAAAGCUUCAGACAACAACUCAUGCCAUCUCCUCGGAUUAUCCUCAAUCUUCUUCUUGAUGAGCUUGAUUAGAAUUUUAUUGCUAGACUCAGCUUGUCCAUUAGCUUGGGCAUAAUAUGGAGAGCAAUUGAGCAACUUUAUAUUAUAAGAUUCGGCAAACUCUCUGACUUGGUGUGACAUAAAAGAUGAACCUUGAUCUGUAGUUAAUGUUUGAGGAAUACCGAAUCUAUGAAUAAUGUGUUCGGUUAUGAAUCGAAUUACCUCCGUAUGUGUCAUGUUCUUGAGAGGUACUGCUUCAGACCAUUUAGUGAAAUAAUCAGUUGCCACCAAUACGAACCGAUGCCCUUUUGAGGAAGACGGGUGGAUUUGUCCAAUGAAAUCUAAACCCCAACCUCUGAAAGGCCACGGUUUGAUAAUAGGAUGUAACAUAGCAGCAGGAGCCAAAUGAAUAUCACCAAACUUUUUACAAGCUUCACACCCUUUAUAAUAUCUGAAGCAAUCAUUAAUCAUAGUCGGCCAAUAAAAUCCAGCACGUUGCAAUAACCAUUUCAUCUUGGGAGCCGACUGGUGAGUGCCACAAAUACCUUCAUGUACUUCUCCCAUAGCAACUCUUGCCUGGUCCUCAUCCAAACACUUUAGAAGAACAUCAUCGACUGUUCGGCGAUAAAGACCAUCAUCUCUCAUUGUAUACUUGAAAGCCAUACGCCGAACAGCCCUGUCUACCCUUUCACUCGGAUUGCACAAGUAAUCAACAAUGGGCUUUCUCCAGUCGGAAUUAUCACCUGCACUAGAUUUUUUGUUAAUGGCCGAAUCAGUGGGUUCAGGUUCGGCCUCUCCCAUAUUGGCAAGACAAGACAUUGGUCUUUGAGAGAUAUGAAACAUGCCAUGAUCAACAUGAUAUCCAGAUGCUUGCUGUGCCAACUCAUUUGCUUUCCAGUUGUCAUGUCUAGAUAUAUGUGCAAUGCUAAAACAAUCCAAAGUAGAAAUUAUAUCUAGACAUUUAUCAAGAUAAACAUUAAGUGAUUCGUCAAAACACUGAAAGACUUUGGAUAUUUGCUGCACCUCUAGUAACGAAUCACCGUAAGCCUCAAUAUGUGUAACACCUAUAGCAAGUAACAUCUCUAGACCGAAUAACAAUGCUUCAUAUUCGGCUUGAUUGUUUGUGCAAAAAUAUUCUAAGCGGCAUGAGGCUUCAAAAACAGCACCAUGAGGAGAUAUAUAAACAAUACCAACACCUUGGCCAUUGCUACAAACUGAACCAUCAAAGUAUAAUCUCCAUGGCACUAAUGAAACAAGGUUCAUAUCAACAUCAUGCUUGUCAUCAAUCCGAUGUUCAACAAUGAAAUUAGCAACAAUUUGGCCUUUCAUGGAUUUUAGAGAUUCAUAAGCCAAAUCAUACUCAAUCAAAGCAUAAGCCCACUUGCCAAUUCUACCACUAAGAAUUGGCCUAUGCAACAUGUACUUAAUGACACCGGUUUGACAAGCUACUACACAAGCACUCGGCACUAGGUAAUGUCUCAAUUUUGUGCAAGCGUAAUAUAAGCAUAGACAUAGUUUUUCAAUAAAUGUAUACCUUGUCUCGGCGUCCAAUAAACGUCUGCUCAAAUAUGUAAUGGCAUGCUCUUUUCCUUCGGUAUCUUGAGUUAAAACAGCACCAAUAACACCUUCCUCUGCUGCGAUAUAAAGUUUAAAAGGUUCUCUAUGCUUGGGUGCUUUCAUCACCGGAGGAGUGCACAAAUAAUUCUUGAUCAUAUCAAAGGCUUCUUGCUGUUUUGCCCCCCAAGUGAAAUCAACAUCAUUCUUUAACCGAAGGAUAGGAGUAAAUGCAUCAACUUUCCCUGACAGAUUAGCUAUGAACCUUCUCAAAUAAUUGACCUUGCCAAGGAACUUUUGCAUAUCUCUCUUGCAUGUUGGAGCCUCCACUUUCUGUAUGGCCUCUAUCUUUUUGGGAUCGAUUUCGAUGCCAUCUUCAUGAAUAAUGAAACCCAAAAAUUUGCCAGCUGACACGCCAAAUGCACACUUCAAAGGAUUCAUCUUCAGUCCAUACUUUUUCAUUCUUUCAAAAGCUAAACGCAAAUCGGCCAAGUGAGAUUCAAAAGCAUCCGAUUUGACAACAAUAUCAUCAAUAUAAACUUCAAGUAUGACACCGAGUAAAUCAUGAAAAAUCAAAUUCAUAUCCCUCUGAUAUGUGGCCCCAGCAUUUUUCAAUCCGAAUGUCAUCACUGUCCACUCGAAUAAACCAAGGAAACCAGGACAUCGGAAAGCUGUUUUGUACAUGUCCUCUUCGGCCAUAAAAAUUUGAUUGUAUCCGGCAUUACCAUCUAGAAAGCUAAUAACCUUAUGUCCAGAAGCAUCAUUAAUAAGCAUAUCGGCUAUUGGCAUGGGAUACUCAUCUUUGGGUGUAGCCCUAUUCACAUCUCUGAAGUCAAUGCACACCCUCAACUUGCCGGAUCUCUUCUUCUCUACUAGGACAAUGUUAGAAAUCCACUCGGCAUACCUGCAAGGUCGAAUGAAUUUAGCUUCAAGCAGUCGACCGAUCUCUUCCUUGAUCCGGUCAUAUGUUUUCGGAUUAAACUUUCUGGCCGAUUGUUUAUAAGGUCUAAAACCGGCCUUUAUAGGCAACCGAUGCUCCACUAGCUCUCGGCUCAACCCUGGCAUCUCAUGAUAUUCCCAUGCAAAGCAACAAACGUAUUCUUUCAAUAGCUCGAUUAACUUAGUUUUACAAUCGGCUUUCAAAUUUUUGUUUAUAAAUGUCGGUCGACUGACUGAUCCGUCUCCGAUAUCUACCUCUUCUAACGGAUCGGCCGAUGUAAAACCUUGUCCAAGUUUAUCCAUGUCAUCCAACUCCUCAACAGACUCAUACAUAUCCUUCUCGCUGGACCGAUAUUUUGCAAGACGUUUUUGUAACCACUCGGAAUUAGGAUCCAUUUAAACAUAUCAUACCUUGGAGCCGAUUGCAUUCAGUCGGUUUUAAAGACACGGGCACAAAACCAUUUUUGGUCGCACUGAGAAAAUCAAACUCUGAUAAAUCACGUCCCGUCAAGCAAGUAGCAUUGGGAUGUUGCCAAUCCACCGGUGCAUCGGCCAAAGCAACACAAGCUGAAUUAUCCGCAUGAAUGAUUUCCACUUCGUCAUCAACCCAUUGAAUCAAAAACUGGUGCAUAGUGGACGACACGCACUGGUUUGCAUGAACCCAAUCACGUCCUAGUAUGACGUUGUAGUUACCUUGCACAUCAGCGACAAAGAAUGCAGUAGCCAAAGUUUUGCUUCCGACUGUAAGCUCCACAUACAUCACACCUUUGGCUUCAGUUUUUUCUUUGCCUUCAAAUCCGUUGAGCACCAUAUUGGUCUUGAUCAAUUCUUCAUCAGGCAAACCCAAUUUCUUGAAGACCGAAUAGGGCAUAAGAUUUACCACAGCACCACCAUCAACAAGCAUCCGAGUGAGCGGAGACCCAUUGAUAUGACCUCUGAGAUAUAAUGGUUUCAGAUGCGUUACUGGUUCUUUUGGCUUCUCGAAUAUUGCAUUUUUAGGGCCAAAAUCCAGCUGAGCCACUUCCCCUUCCUCAUCUACAGCAUGAAACUCAGCAGGUAAGUAAUACACCAUAUUGAUAUCCAUACCUUCAUGAACCGGUGCAGAUUCAUAGUCCAAUAUAUCAGCCUCUUCUUCAAGUGGAUCGACCGAUUCUGAAAUCUGUCCGAGUGAAGGAGAGGUAAGAAGUGUCACAGACGAUGUAAUAGCUGUCGCAUCGUCCUCUUUGGGUGGUGUGGACACUUCUGUGAUAGAUGUAGAAGCUGAUGUAUCUUGUAUUUGUUUUGGCCUCCACACUUUUUUUGCUGGAACCAUGGGCCGAGUGUUAUUGAACAACUUAUCCCUUUGCUUCUCGGCCUCCUGCUCCGCCAUCUCUUGACUCCUUAACCUUUGUAGUUUCCUCUUCUGUGUCUUUGUUAGCCCUGGAGGACACCACUUUGGCCGAGUGUAUUUAGCAUCUCUCACCUUUACUUGGCUGGUGCUUGCUUCAUGGUCAUUAGCCGAGUGCUUUGGCGCGAUAGAAAGUAUCGGCUCAGUUGAGUGAUUAUGCACAGUCGACUGCUGUAUGGGGAAUGUUUCGGUGCCCAAGAUAAGUGAGUCGACAUCCAUUUUCUCCUUGCCUUUGCCCGACUCAACUGCUGCAACACUUGGUGACUUAACACGCCAUUCCUUUCGAUUUUCCAGAUGCAUGAAAUUUCCACUCGGGCGCACCUUUUUACUCUGAUGGAAUCCACUCGGAUUGAUGUCACUCGGAUGGUAUCCACUCGGAUGGUACUCAGUCGGAUGGAAUCUACCCAUCCACAUUUUUUCACUCGGAUAGCUUCCACCUGGGUGCAUUCUUACACUUGGAUAAUUUCCAUCCGGUCGCAUAUUUUGACCAGCCGACUGAUAGUUACCAAUGUUGAGUCGACCAUUAUAUGAGUAAUCAAUUCGAUCCCACACAGAUUGCCUCUGCUCUUCUGAAAACUGCGCCCUCGGUCCACUCGGUUUUGUGUACCGACUGAACAUAUCAACUGAUGGUGACCUUGGUCGUUUCAGAUGAGUCGGUCGAUUGAAACUAGAAUCAGCCGACUGAUUAGCAUAUUUGGACAGCAACAUAUCAAAAGUUGGCUUGAUCCGCUUGCGUUGCACUUUAGCUUCAUUCUUCUUCCACUUGCCAACUUCUGGACUCUUGGGCUUGACAAAUUUAACACGAGUAUUUUCUUGCACUUGCGGUUGCCCCCCGAGUGUAGGAUUCUUGAUGGUGAUUUUGAUCACUUCCUUGCCAUCGGGUUGCUUAUCAAGCACAACCUGUCUCCCCAAGACCUUGUUGUCUUCCUUGUCUUUCCUGGGCUCACCAACAAUGACAUUAGCUUUAUUAGCAGAUUCGGCUACCUCCGGCCGAAUGAGUAACUUCUUCCCUUCUAAAUCCAUGGCGUUCAUUGGAAAGGGUUGUUUAUCAACUUGCAUCUCAGAAAAGUUCAAUCGUCCGUCAUUAAUGGCCGAUUGUAUCUGUCGUUGAAAAACAUUGCAAUCAUUAGUAGCAUGAGAAAAAGAAUUAUGAUACUUGCAAUAAGCACGCCGUUUCAGCUCUUGAAACGGCGGUAAAGUAUGAGAUAUUCUAAUAAUCUUAGCCUGCAGCAAAGCAUCAAAUAUUCUAUCACACUUAGCAAUGUUAAAAGUAAACUUCAUCUCUUCAUCACGAUUCUUAUGAAUCGGUUUCAGAUCAUUGCAAGUAAAGGGUUUGGCCUUAGAUGGCCAAACAAAUUCAGUAGAAAAAACAUCACCCUCAUCGUCCGAGUGAUCACUGUCAUAUUCCACCAUAUUCAUCUUUGGACGACCGGCUUUGUAUCUAUGCACUUCUUUGAGGUCUUUGCUUCGGCUUUCCUGAGCCAAAGCCCUUUGUAAGACUUGGUUGAUGUUUAAGAACUCGUAGCCUUCUAGCUUUUCUCUAAUGGGAGUUCUCAAACCACUCAGCACUAGGUCUGCCAAGUCUCUCUCGGUUAUCACCAAACUAAAACACCGGUUUUUCGUAUCUCUGAAUCUCUUGACGUAAUCGGAGACUGAUUCAUCAUGCUUCUGCUUAACCGAUGUUAGAUGUGACAACUUGAGUUCAUUGUCGCUGCUAUAAAAGUGAUCAUGAAAUUUCUGCUCUAGCUGCGACCAAACUCGAAUGGAACCAUGUGGUAAAGAAGAAAACCAUGAAAAUGCGGUACCAGUUAAUGACAAAGGAAAUAAACGCACUUUCAACUCAUUCAGUGAGCCUGCCUCACCCAAUUGUGCUAAGUAUUGACUAACAUGCUCCCAUGUGGUUUUUGUGCCCUCUCCAUUGAACUUAACAAAAUCUGGAAUUUUAUAUCCUGGAGGGCACUGGAUAGCAUCAAAGUACUCGGGGUACGGCUUUUGGUAAAUCCGAUUCCGAGGUAACUCAACUCCAAAAUUUUCUCGAAGCAUCUUAGCCAUCUCCUCUCUAAGAUUAGCUAAACCAUCAUCCAUAGUGGACGAUGAAGCUUGUGGCAGUGGCAUAGGAGGGGUAGGGUUACUAGCUGUAGGUAGGAAUUGUGGCAUGUAUGUCGACCCAUAAUUUGGUAGUGGUCGAGUGGUUGUAGCUGUAGGUAGGGUUUGGUUCGGCGUCACCACCGAACCUGGCAUGCUCAUAAUAGGAUUAAUGGGUGCAGCCACAAUCUGAUUUGUUUGGGUAGGAUAAUAAGUCAUCGGCACGGGAGGCGCCGAUGAGAUAGGUAAAGCCAGAUUAGGGUUUUGCACACUAGCAGCUACACCAUCAUUACCACUAGUCGAUUGAGAUGUAUUCUUCUGAGCAUUAGUAUUUUCUAUGAAAGUUUGAUAGACUAGAUUGUUACCAUCAGCAAUACGACUUUCAAUCUCAGCCCACUGCUCAGGAGAAAAGGUAGUACUUACAGAGGGUUUAACCUGCUCGGCUUGCAAAGGAGGGAACUUGAUUUCUUCAAUCGGAGUGAUGUUGCCUUGGCGAUCCUUCUUGAACUUUGCAAGGAACUCCUGCAAGUCCUUCUCCUCGCGCGCCUUCUUGUACUCCUCAUAGACUUGGUGAUGAUCGGCCGAUAUCUCAUCAAGACUGGGCUUAAUGAUGUUAUCGGCGUCUACCUCAGAUGGCUUGGGAAGAUCGGACAUGGUGGAUGAUGAUGAUUGAUCUUCGGUCCCCAGCGGAGUCGCCAAAAAGUGUUUUGACACACGAACACGUCACGUGUACCCUCGACGCCGGGGGUGAUGCACCGCAGCUCACGUCGAAGGAGACCCGACCGACAGCGCGAUAUGCAAGACAGUCGGCGGGUGCUUUUGCAGACCCGAAACCCCGCGCACCCGGGAGGGACCCCGUCAGGGAUUGCGGCGGCUAUGGGCUGCCCUAGGUCGAUUCGCUCGCCCCUAGAGCCUCGGGAUUCGCAGCUCUCAAACACGAAGAACAGCGAAGAACGAGAUAGAAAAACGGUGGAGAGAUAAAAAGUAGACAGGAAAAAGUAGUAUAUUGAUUUGUUCGAUUGUGUGUUGUUCAAUCGGCCGUCACCCCCAACAUAUAUAAGAGGCGGCUGGACUUCCCGUACAAGUAAAGGAUUCAUCUAGGCUUUCCUUACAAGAAAAAUUACAUCAAUUCACGUCCUAGAGUCCUAGUUCUAUUCCAACUCGGAUCCAGUCUGAAUCUGGCCCAACUUCUGUCUUCCUCCGUGUGCAGGCCGCCGAGCCUCCAUAUGACCUCCGAUCAAGAUGGCCCAAAUACCAAACUUGUGCGCCUCGACGAUAUGAACAACUCUCAUGUUGAUCACUUUUUCAAAUAAGGCCAUCUUGAAUACUUUUCGAGGUCAUCUUUACCUUCCAGUCGGACUCGGUCUUGCGGUAGACUGAAUUAUCCGAGUCUUGUAGUGAAUUUGCAGGCCAUAUACUAUCUCUGAUGACGAUGACUCCAAAAGCAAAGUUUACCGUCUUGACGAUACACACAACUUCUGUAUUGAACACUUCUUCAUCCGAGAUCAUCUUGAUAAACUUUUGGGCACAUGUUCAGUUUCACUCGGAUUUGAGCUCAUCCACUCGGAUUUUAGAGUCUUUCACUCGGAUGGUCCGACUGGACUUUUCAAUCGGAUGACUAUAUUUUCACUCAGAAGACAAUCAAUCGGUAGGUUUUCACUCGACCUUUUACUCGAUCGGUAGGUUUUCACUCGACCUUUUACUCGAUCGGUAGGUUUUCACUCGACCUUUUACUCGAUCGGUAGGUUUUCACUCGACCUUUUACUCGAUCGGUAGAUUUUCACUCGACCUUUUACUCGAUCGGUAGGUUUUCAUCCGAAAGGUAAGCUUUCACUCGACCGGUGAGUUUUCACUCGGAUGGUAAGCUUUUCACUCGACCGGUGAGUUUUCACUCGGAUGGUAAGCUUUUUCACUCGACCAAAAACAUAGCCUGAUCUUGAUUUGUCUCCCCAAGUCUUAUACGACCUCGGAUUGAGACGAAUUAUAUAUGAAAAUCGAUCGGCUCGACGAAGCGAAACUUUUUCGUGUUGAAGGUUUUUCGAUCCAAUGCCGUCUUGAAGGCCAAAUUGCUCGCGCGACCCAUCAGACAUGGCGUCUGGUACUUCGCGCCAUAUUUCCACUCAGCUUCGGCCCGCAGUGUAUUGCCUAUAACUUUUGCAUAUGAACUCGGAUUGAGAUGAUUUAUAUAUCAAAAUCGAUCGCCUCGACGAGACGAAGACAAUUCCUUUAGAGUACUCCUUCAUCCGAGGUCGUCUUGAAGGCAUGGUCGACCGAAAACCACUCGGAAUGUUGAAUUUUGUCACUCGGAGUACAACUUCGGCCACCGAGAUAAGGUCGAAUGGCGAUAAGUUAAACAUCAAAGUUAUUCCACUAGGCGACCUGAAACUUUGCAUGCUGAAAACUCUUUCACUUGAGGCCAUCUUACUUGCCUUUUGUACCUUGCCAAAAUCCAAUGUCAACACAUGCCCCCCUGUUUUUCGGCAAAGCUUGCAUGCCGAAAAAUAAUAUGCACGGUGUUUGUUCUAAGGACGAUGUCAACACUCGAUCGGCCAUUUAUUUUCCUCAGGGCGAUAAUUAUGUAUCGGCCAUGUUUGUGCUAAGGGCGAUAAUCGUAUAUCGGCCAUUGCCUACUCAGGCUUCCUGCCACACACUCGGGUGGUACUUCUUCAAAUAUUUUCCGUUGAGAGCUCGAGGUAACAAUGCCCCUUGUAUUGAUUCCACCAAAUAUGAAUUUCCAGGAACAACCCUUGUAAUCCUAAAAGGACCUUCCCAACUUGGAGACCACUUCCCGAAUUUUCUAUCUCUUGAACCAAUCGGCAGAAUCACUUUCCAAACGAGAUCACCAACUUGAAAAUUCUUUAACUUGACUUUCUUAUUGUAAGCCCUUGCUACUCUCAACUUAUCUCUCUCUAUGGCAUUCAAAGCAGCCAAACGUUUAUCAGCAACCUCGUCAAUGUUGUCCAUCAUCAAGUUAUAGAAGUCUAUUGCCGAUAAAUCAUUUUGUUUGGCUAUUCUCAAAGCAUUCAAAUUUACUUCCACCGGUAAAACAGCCUCCUGACCAUAUACUAGCUCAUAUGGAGUCACUUUCGUAGCACAAUGCCUUGAGAUUCUAUGUGCCCAUAAUGCCUCAGACAACAAGUCAUGCCAUCUCCUUGGAUUAUCCUCAAUCUUCUUUUUGAUGAGCUUGAUUAAAAUUUUAUUGCUAGACUCGGCUUGUCCAUUAGCUUGGGAAUAAUACGGAGAGGAAUUGAGCAACUUUAUAUUAUAAGAUUCGGCAAACUCUCUGACUUGGUGUGACAUAAAAGAUGAACCUUGAUCUGUAGUUAAUGUUUGAGGAAUACCGAAUCUAUGAAUAAUGUGCUUAGUUAUGAAUUGAAUUACCUCCGUAUGUGUCAUGUUCUUGAGAGGUACUGCUUCAGACCAUUUAGUGAAAUAAUCAGUUGCCACCAACACGAAUCGAUGCCCCUUUGAGGAAGAUGGAUGAAUUUGCCCAAUAAAAUCUAAACCCCAUCCUCUGAAAGGCCACGGCUUGAUAAUAGGAUGCAACAUAGCAGCAGGAGCCAAUUGAAUAUCACCAAAUUUUUGACAAGCUUCGCACCCUUUAUAAUAUCUGAAGCAAUCAUUAAUCAUGGUCGGCCAAUAAAACCCAGCACGUCGUAAUAACCAUUUCAUCUUAGGAGCCGACUGGUGAGUACCACAAAUUCCCUCAUGUACCUCUCCCAUAGCAACUCUUGCUUGGUCCUCAUCCAAGCAUUUUAAAAGAACAUCAUCAACUGUUCGGCGAUAAAGGUCAUCAUCCCUUAUAGUAUAUUUAAAAGCCAUACGCCGAACAGCCCUGUCCACCCUUUCACUCGGAUUGCGCAAGUAAGCAACAAUGGGCUUCCUCCAGUCGGAAUUGUCAUCUGCACUAGAUUUUUUGUUAAUGACCGAAUCAGUGGGUUCAGGUUCGGCCUCUCCCAUAUUGGCAAGACAAGAUAUCGGUCUUUGAGAAAUAUGAAACAUGCCACGAUCAACAUGAUAUCUAGAUGCUUGUUGUGCCAACUCAUUUGCUUUCCAAUUGUCAUGUCUAGAUAUAUGUGCAAUGCUAAAACAAUCCAAAGUAGAAAUUAUAUCUAGACAUUUAUCAAGAUAAACAUUAAGUGAUUCGUCCAAACACUGAAAGACUCUGGAUAUUUGCUGCACCACUAGUAACGAAUCACCGUAAGCCUCAAUAUGUGUAACACCUAUAGCAAGUAACAUCUCUAGACCGAAUAACAAUGCUUCAUAUUCGGCUUGAUUGUUUGUGCAAAAAUUUUCUAAGCGGCAUGAGGCUUCAAAAAUAGCACCACGAGGAGAUAUAUAAACAAUACCAACACCUUGGCCAUUGCUACAAACUGAACCAUCAAAGUACAAUCUCCAUGGCACUAAUGAAACAAGGUUCAUAUCAACAUCAUGCUUGUCAUUAAUCCGAUGUUCAACAAUGAAAUUAGCAACAAUUUGACCUUUCAUGGAUUUUAGAGAUUCAUAAGCCAAAUCAUACUCAAUCAAAGCAUAAGCCCACUUGCCAAUUCUACCACUAAGAAUUGGCCUAUGCAACAUGUACUUAAUGACAUCGGUUUGACAAGCUACUACACAAGCACUCGGCACUAGGUAAUGUCUCAAUUUUGUGCAAGCGUAAUACAAACAUAGACAUAGUUUUUCAAUAAAUGUAUACCUUGUCUCGGCGUCCAAUAAACGUCUGCUCAAAUAUGUAAUGGCAUGUUCUUUUCCUUCGGUAUCUUGAGUCAAAACAGCACCAAUAACACCUUCCUUUGCUGCGAUAUAAAGUUUAAAAGGCUCUCUAUGCUUUGGUGCUUUCAUCACCGGAGGAGUGCACAAAUAAUUCUUGAUCAUAUCAAAGGCUUCUUGCUGUUUUGCUCCCCAAGUGAAAUCAACAUCAUUUUUUAACCGAAGGAUAGGAGUAAAUGCAUCAACUUUCCCUGACAGAUUAGCUAUGAACCUUCUCAAAUAAUUUACCUUGCCAAGGAACUUUUGCAUAUCUCUCUUGCAUGUUGGAGCCUCCACUUUCUGUAUAGCCUCUAUCUUUUUGGGAUCGAUUUUGAUGCCAUCUUCAUGAAUAAUGAAACCCAAAAAUUUGCCAGCUGACACGCCAAAUGCACACUUCAAAGGAUUCAUCUUCAGUCCAUACUUUUUCAUCCUUUCGAAAGCUAAACGCAAAUCGGCCAAGUGAGAUUCAAAAGCAUCCGAUUUGACAACAAUAUCAUCAAUAUAAACUUCAAGUAUGACACCGAGUAAAUCAUGAAAAAUCAAAUUCAUAUCCCUUUGAUAUGUGGCCCCGGCAUUUUUCAAUCCGAAUGUCAUCACUGUCCACUCGAAUAAACCAAGGAAACCAGGACAUCGGAAAGCUGUUUUGUACAUGUCCUCUGCGGCCAUAAAAAUUGGAUUGUAUCCGGCAUUACCAUCUAGAAAGCUAAUAACCUUAUGUCCAGAAGCAUCAUUAAUAAGCAUAUCGGCUAUUGGCAUGGGAUACUCAUCUUUGGGUGUAGCCCUAUUCACAUCUCUGAAGUCAAUGCACACCCUCAACUUGCCGGAUCCCUUCUUCUCCACUGGGACAAUGUUAGAAAUCCACUCGGCAUACCUACAAGGUCGAAUGAAUUUAGCUUCAAGCAGUCGACCGAUCUCUUCCUUGAUCCGGUCAUAUGUUUUUGGAUCAAACUUUCUGGCCGACUGUUUAUAAGGUCUAAAACCGGCCUUUAUAGGCAACCGAUGCUCCACUAGCUCUCGGCUCAACCCUGGCAUCUCAUGAUAUUCCCAUGCAAAGCAACAAACAUAUUCUUUCAAUAGCUCGAUUAACUUAGUUUUACAAUCGGCUUUCAAAUUUUUGUUUAUAAAUGUCGGUCGACUGACUGAUCCAUCUCCGAUAUCUACCUCUUCUAACGGAUCGGCCGAUGUAAAACCUUGUCCAAGUUUAUCCAUAUCAUCCAACUCCUCAAUAGACUCAUACAUAUCGUUCUCGCUGGACCGAUAUUUUGCAAGACGUUUUUGUAACCACUCGGAAUUAGGAUCCAUUUAAACAUAUCAUACCUUGGAGCUGAUUGCAUUCAGUCGGCUUUAAAGACACGGGCACAAAACCAUUCUUGGUCGCACUGAGAAAAUCAAACUCUGAUAAGUCACGCCCCGUCAAGCAAGUAGCAUUGGGAUGUUGCCAAUCCACCGAUGCAUCGGCCAAAGCAACACAGGCCGAGUUAUCCGCAUGAAUGACUUCCACUUCAUCAUCAACCCACUGAAUAAAAAACUGGUGCAUAGUGGAUGGCACGCACUGGUUUGCAUGAACCCAAUCACGACCUAGUAUAACAUUGUAGUUACCUUGCACCUCAGCGACAAAGAAUGCAGUGGCCAAAGUUUUGCUUCCGACUGUAAGCUCCACAUACAUUACACCUUUGGCUUCAGUUUUCUCUUUGCCUUCAAACCCGUUGAGCACCAUAUUGGUCUUGAUCAAUUCUUCAUCAGGCAAACCCAAUUUCUUGAAGACCGAAUAGGGCAUAAGAUUUACCACAGCACCUCCAUCCACAAGCAUCCGAGUGAGCGGUGACCCAUUGAUAUGACCUCUGAGAUAUAACGAUUUUAGAUGCGUCACUGGUUCUUUUGGCUUCUCGAAUAUUGCGUUCUUAGGGCCAAAAUCCAGCUGAGCAACUUCCCCUUCCUCAUCUACAGCACGAAACUCAGCAGGUAAGUAAUACACCAUAUUGAUAUCCAUACCUUCAUGAACCGGUGUAGAUUCAUAGUCCAACAUAUCAGCCUCUUCUCCAAGUGGAUCGACCGAUUCUGAAAUCUGGCCGAGUGAAGGAGAACUAAGAAGUGCCACAGACGAUGUAAUAGCUGUCACAUCAUGCUCUUUGGGUGGUGUAGGCACUUCUGUGAUAGAUGUAGAAGCUGAUGUAUCUUGUAUUUGUUUUGGCCUCCACACUUGUUUUGCUGGAACCAUGGGCUGAGUGUCAUUGAACAACUUAUCCCUUUGCUUCUCGGCCUCCUGCUCCGCCAUCUCUUGACUCCUUAACCUCUGUAGUUUCCUCUUCUGUGUCUUUGUUAGCCCUGGAGGACACCACUUUGGCUGAGUGUAUUUAGGAUCUCUCGUUUUUACCUGGCUGGUGCUUGCUUCAUGGUCAUUAGCCGAGUGCUUUGGCGCGAUAGAAAGUAUCAGCUCAGUCGAGUGGUUAUGCACAGUCGGCUGCUGUAUGGGGAAUGUUUCGGUGCCCAAGAUAAGUGAGUCAACAUCCAUUUUCUCCUUGCCUUUUCCUGACUCAACUGCUGCAAAACUUGGUGAUUUAACACGCCAUUCUUUCCGACUUUCCAGAUGCAUGAAAUUUCCACUCGGGCGCACCUUUUUACUUGGAUGGAAUCCACUCGGAUUGAUGUCAUUCAGAUGGUAUCCACUCGGAUGGAACUCACUCGGAUGAGAUCUACCCAUCCACAUUUUUUCACUCGGAUAGUUUUCACCUGGGUGCAUUCUUACACUCGGAUAAUUUCCAUCCGGUCGCAUAUUUUGACCAGCCGACUGAUAGUCGCCAAUGUUCAGUCGGCCAUUAUAUGAGUAUUCAAGUCGGCCCCAAACAGUUUGCCUCUGCUCUUCUGGAAACAGUGCCUUUGGUCCACUCGGUUUUGCAUACCAACUGAACAUAUCAUCUGAUGGUGACCUUGGUCGCUUCAAGUGUGAUGGCCGGUUAGAGCUGGGACCAGCCGACUGAUUAGCAUAUUUGGACAACAACAUAUCAAAAGUUGGCUUGAUCCGCUUGCGUUGCACUUUAGCUUCAUUCUUCUUCCACUUGCCAACUUCUGGACUCUUGGGCUUGACAAAUUUAACACGAGUAUUUUCUUGCACUUGCGGUUGCCCCCCGAGUGUAGGAUUCUUGAUGGUGAUUUUGAUCACUUCCUUGCCAUCGGGUUGCUUAUCAAGCACAACCUGUCUCCCCAAGACCUUGUUGUCUUCCUUGUCUUUCCUGGGCUCACCAACAAUGACAUUAGCUUUAUUAGCAGAUUCGGCUACCUCCGGCCGAAUGAGUAACUUCUUCCCUUCUAAAUCCAUGGCGUUCAUUGGAAAGGGUUGUUUAUCAACUUGCAUCUCAGAAAAGUUCAAUCGUCCGUCAUUAAUGGCCGAUUGUAUCUGUCGUCGAAAAACAUUGCAAUCAUUAGUAGCAUGAGAAAAAGAAUUAUGAUACUUGCAAUAAGCACGCCGUUUCAGCUCUUCAAACGGCGGUAAAGUAUGAGAUAUUCUAAUAAUCUUAGCAUGCAGCAAAGCAUCAAAUAUUCUAUCACACUUAGCAAUGUUAAAAGUAAACUUCAUCUCUUCAUCACGAUUCUUAUGAAUCGGUUUCAGAUCAUUGCAAGUAAAGGGUUUGGCCUUAGAUGGCCAAACAAAUUCAGUAGAAAAAACAUCACCCUCAUCGUCCGAGUGAUCACUGUCAUAUUCCACCAUAUUCAUCUUUGGACGAUCGGCUUUGUAUCUAUGCACUUCUUUGAGGUCUUUGCUUCGGCUUUCCUGAGCCAAAGCCCUUUGUAAGACUUGGUUGAUGUUUAAGAACUCGUAGCCUUCUAGCUUUUCUCUAAUGGGAGUUCUCAAACCACUCAGCACUAGGUCUGCCAAGUCUCUCUUGGUUAUCACCAAACUAAAACACCGGUUAUUCGUUUCUCUGAAUCUCUUGACGUAAUCGGAGACCGAUUCAUCAUGCUUCUGCUUAACCGAUGUUAGAUGUGACAACUUGAGUUCAUUGUCGCCGCUAUAAAAGUGAUCAUGAAAUUUCUGCUCUAGCUGCGACCAAACUCGAAUGGAACCAUGUGGUAAAGAAGAAAACCAUGAAAAUGCGGUACCAGUUAAUGACAAAGGAAAUAAACGCACUUUCAAUUCAUUCAAUGAGCCUGCCUCACCCAAUUGUGCUAAGUAUUGACUAACAUGCUCCCAUGUGGUUUUUGUGCCCUCUCCAUUGAACUUAACAAAAUCGGGAAUUUUAUAUCCUAGAGGGCACUGGAUAGCAUCAAAGUACUCGGGGUACGGCUUUUGGUAAAUCCGAUUCCGAGGUAACUCAACUCCAAAAUUCUCUCGAAGCAUCUUAGCCAUCUCCUCUCUAAGAUUAGCUAGACCAUCGUCCAUAGUGGACGAUGGAGCUUGUGGCAGUGGCAUAGGAGGGGUAGGGUUACUAGCUGUAGGUAAGAAUUGUGGCAUGUAUGUCGACCCAUAAUUUGGUAGUGGUCGAGUGGUUGUAGCUGUAGGUAGGGUUUGGUUCGGCGUCACCACCGAACCUGGCAUGCUCAUAAUAGGAUUAAUGGGUGCAGCCACAAUCUGAUUUGUUUGGGUAGGAUAAUAAGUCAUCGGCACGGGAGGCGCCGAUGAGAUAGGUAAAGCCAGAUUAGGGUUUUGCACACUAGCAGCUACACCAUCAUUACCACUAGUCGAUUGAGAUGUAUUCUUCUGAGCAUUAGUAUUUUCUAUGAAAGUUUGAUAGACUAGAUUGUUACCAUCAGCAAUACGACUUACAAUCUCAGCCCACUGCUCAGGAGAAAAGGCAGUACUUACAGAGGGUUUAACCUGUUUGGCUUGCAAAGGAGGGAACUUGAUUUCUUCAAUCGGAGUGAUGUUGCCUUGGUGAUCCUUCUUGAACUUUGCAAGGAACUCCUGCAAGUCCUUCUCCUCGCGCGCCUUCUUGUACUCCUCAUAGACUUGGCGAUGAUCGGCCGAUAUCUCAUCAAGACUGGGCUUAAUGAUGUUAUCAGCGUCUACCUCAGAUGACUUGGGAAGAUCGGACAUGGUGGAUGAUGAUGAUUGAUCUUCGUCCCCAGCGGAGUCGCCAAAAAGUGUGUUGACACACGAACACGUCACGUGUACCCUCGACGCCGGGGGUGAUGCACCGCAGCUCACGUCGAAGGAGACCCGACCGACAGCGCGAUACGCAAGACAGUCGGCGGGUGCUUUUGCAGACCCGAAACCCCGCGCACCCGGGAGGGACCCCGUCAGGGAUUGCGGUGGCUAUGGGCUGCCCUAGGUCGAUUCGCUCGCCCCUAGAGCCUCGGGAUUCGCAGCUCUCAAACACGAAGAACAGCGAAGAACGAGAUAGAAAAACGGUGGAGAGAUAAAAAGUAGACAGGAAAAAGUAGUAUAUUGAUUUGUUCGAUUGUGUGUUGUUCAAUCGGCCGUCACCCCCAACAUAUAUAAGAGGCGGCUGGACUUCCCGUACAAGUAAAGGAUUCAUCUAGGCUUUCCUUACAAGAAAAAUUACAUCAAUUCACGUCCUAGAGUCCUAGUUCUAUUCCAACUCGGAUCCAGUCUGAAUCUGGCCCAACUUCUGUCUUCCUCCUUGUGCAGCCCGCGGAGCCUCCAUAUGACCUCCGAUCAAGAUGGCCCAAAUAUCAAACUUGUGCGCCUCGACGAUACGAACAACUCUCAUAUUGAUCACUUUUUCAAAUAAGGCCAUCUUGAAUACUUUUCGACGUCAUCUUUACCUUCCAGUCGGACUCGGUCUUGCGGUAGACUGAAUUAUCCGAGUCUUGUAGUGAAUUUGCAGGCCAUAUACUAUCUUUGAUGACGAUGACUCCAACAGCAAAGUUAACCGUCUUGACGAUACGCACAACUUCUGUAUUGAACACUUCUUCAUCCGAGAUCAUCUUGAUAAACUUUUGGGCACAUGUUCAGUUUCACUCGGAUUUGAACUCAUCCACUCGGAUUUUAGAGUCUUUCACUCGGAUGGUCCGACUGGACUUUUUCACUCGGAUGACUAUAUUUUCACUCGGAAGACAAUCAAUCGGUAGGUUUUCACUCGACCUUUUACUCAAUCGGUAGGUUUUCACUCGACCUUUUACUCGAUCGGUAGGUUUUCACUCGACCUUUUACUAGAUCGGUAGGUUUUCACUCGACCUUUUACUCGAUCGGUAGGUUUUCACUCGACCNNNNNNNNNNNNNNNNNNNNNNNNNNNNNNNNNNNNNNNNNNNNNNNNNNNNNNNNNNNNNNNNNNNNNNNNNNNNNNNNNNNNNNNNNNNNNNNNNNNNNNNNNNNNNNNNNNNNNNNNNNNNNNNNNNNNNNNNNNNNNNNNNNNNNNNNNNNNNNNNNNNNNNNNNNNNNNNNNNNNNNNNNNNNNGGAUUUGAACUCAUCCACUCGGAUUUUAGAGUCUUUCACUCGGAUGGUCCGACUGGACUUUUUCACUCGGAUGACUAUAUUUUCACUCGGAAGACAAUCAAUCGGUAGGUUUUCACUCGACCUUUUACUCAAUCGGUAGGUUUUCACUCGACCUUUUACUCGAUCGGUAGGUUUUCACUCGACCUUUUACUCGAUCGGUAGGUUUUCACUCGACCUUUUACUCGAUCGGUAGGUUUUCACUCGACCGGUGACUCGAUCGGUAGGUUUUCACUCGACCGGUGAGUUUUCACUCGGAUGGUAAGCUUUCACUCGACCAAAAACAUAGCCUGAUCUUGAUUUGCCUCUCCAGGUUACAUACGACCACGGAUUGAGACGAAUUUUAUAUGAAAAUCGAUCGGCUCGACGAGACGAAACUUUUUCGUGUUGAAGGUUUUUCGAUUCAAGGACUUCUUAAGGGCCUAAUUACUCGCGCGACCCAUCAGACAUGGCGUCUGAUACUUUGCGCCAGAUUUCCACUCAGCUUCGGCCUGCAGUGUAUUGCCUCUAACUUUUGCAUAUGAACUCGGAUUGAGAUGAUUUAUAUAUCAAAAUCGAUCGCCUCGACGAGACGAAGACAAUUCCUUUAGAAUACUCCUUCAUCAGAGGUCGUCUUAAGGGCAUGAUCGGCCGAAAACCACUCGGAAUGUUGAAUUUUCUCACUUGGGGUACAACUUCGGCCACCGAGAUAAGGUCGAAUGGUGAUAAGUUAAACACCAAAGUUAUUCCACUCGGCGACCUGAAACUUUGCAUGCCGAAAACUCUUUUACUUGAGGCCACCUUAUGUCGGAGUAAUGGGCCAUGGGUAGGCUGACCCAGGACCCAAGAUCUUUCAAGACAUCGGGGCAGGCCGCGCCCCUCAGCCGAGUCCCAGCUGGCGACCUUCGAGAAGGCCGAGUCCCAGCAGGCGACCUUCGAGAAGGCCGAGUCCCAGCUGACGACCUUCGAAGAAGGCCGAGUCCCAGCUGACGACCUUCGAAGAAGCAGAGUCCGCAGAUGGCGUCUCUGAAGCACGCCGACUCCGGGCUUACGACCUCUCAAGGGGCCGACUAUGAGAGUCAGCCCGCGACCUUGCACAAAGACCGAUGCGGGGUACCGCCCCAUCGUGGCUGUCCCCUCGGACCCACGGGAGGAAGGCAUGGCUACAGUGAGCCGCGUCGCCAGGAGAUCUCCGGUGAGGCGCGGCACUGUUGCCAUGCCUCCCUUAACCUCAGCCACAGUGCACAAGGCACUGUGCCCACGACGGCGGCGCGUACGGCCCAGAGAUCGCCGGGCCCCCUAUCAGUGAGAUAGAAGAAGACGGCCGGGGAGCUCGAAGACGGCCCUGCGGGAGCCGGCCUCUCCAGAGUCGGCCGCCUCCCGGCCAGGGCCCCACAGGCCAUAAACCAGAUUGGACCGGGAGUGGUGACAGUGAUCGCCUGACAGGCGGCGGCACUGUUCCCACGACCCCAUGACCGAGCCUGCGUCAUCAGGAGCGCUGCACAGUGUUCUGCCUGUCCGCAGGACCCGCCAGUCGGCGGGCCCCAGAAGCCGGCGGGGAGGACGGCUGCCAGAGAGACUGACGACUGGGGGCCACGCCCAGUCAGAUUACCAUUGUACCCCCGGGGGGUAGGCCUAUAUAAACCCCCCGGGGCACCCAUGCAAAGGGUUCGGCCCUGGACAGGUUUAGACACAUAGCAGGAGGGGGAAAGAGCUAGCCUUGCUCCUCCCUGCCUCCAAACAGCUCGAGGAGCACCUUUGUACUAUCACCCCAUAGUGAUCAUGCGGAGACCCCGCAGAGCAGCAGUAGGGGUGUUAUCUCCUCGGAGAGCCCCGAAGCUGGGUAAGAUUCACCGGCGUGCAUGUCUUCGCCUCAUCCCGUUUCCAGGCACCGGCGACGUUCUACUCGCCCCCACCAUGAUAAGCCACCCGUUGGCAUAUGUCGCAUCCAACCCCCGACAUUUGGCGCCCACCAUGAGGCGAGGUGCACCGUCGUCCGGAGAUCUGUUCUGGACGGGAACCCUUUUCCUCCCUGGCGAGCGCAGCCAGCCCGGCUCGCCAGAUGGAGUCUGCAUCGAUGCAUUGCGCGGUGCUGAAGCCGCCUGCGCAGCGAGCGGCCUCGCCGAACUCAUCGGCAAGGUGCGCCUCUCCGACGAACCCGUGCUGAGCGCAGGCGCGGGUGGCCCCGAGAGCCUUCUUGCGGGCCUCCUUGACCAACUUCAAGUCGCCGGCGAGCCCGCUGUAGACUUGGAGUCCGUAGGCUCCUCCGACCCGAUGCUGGUCGACUCCGACGCUGUAUCGCUUGAUAUCUUCCCCACCAACGUGGUGGUCUACGACGAGCCGCUUCCAUACGAGGAGAGCGACGGAAGCGCCGUCACGGAGGUGCUCGUCAUCGGCCACGGCGAGCACUCCGGUGAAAACGCCCAGGACCCGCUGCCUGCGGCCCUGCAGGACCUGUCCGCGCCCAUCCCAGAGGACACGGACGCAGAGAUGCUGGAAGAACGCCGCCUUCAGAUCAUUGAAGGCGCCAAGAAGUUGGCAAGCAUGAGACGCUUGUCCGAAGCAUAUCAGCGCGAGAUGGAUCGUGCUGUGGGCGGCUCGCCGGCUCCGACUGGGCCGAGCCAUCUCGGUGCGGUCCGAGAGCGCGGCGCAGCCAUCGCCGAUCUGUUCGGAGCGAAGCGCCCCGUGUACGCCACCCCCGCGGAGAACAUCCGCACCGCCCAAGCGGCGACCGAAGAGCUAAGGAACCUCGAAGGCGAAGAGCGCCGUGUAAUAACGGAGCGUGUCCAGCAGCUCCUCGAUGCGGUUGCUGCGCAGAACGCGGCAGGCGGCCGCACCGACGCGCAGCAGCAGCAGCAGAAUGACGACUUACCCCCUCGCCGAGACCAAGGCGCGACCUCCCGGACGCCGACUGGCGGAGUCCGCGGGAGGAAAGAGAAGGAGCCGGCUGCGAGCCACAGCCGGACUCGCAUCACCAUCGAGCGCGACCAAGAUGGCCGCCCCAGAGCAGUGGAGCGGCGAGAUGAUUACCUGCCUCCCCCGCCCCGAAGAGAAUGGCGAGUCUCUCCGCCGCCUGUUGAGCAUCCGACUCUCAGAGGUCGCCUUGGCCGCCGAGAGGGAGUCGGAGAGAACGAUGCCCGCCACCGGAUCGACCGACUCCACAGAUCCCUGGCGUUAGAAGAAGAAGAUGAGCUGGGUCCGCCUUGCUUCGGGCCCCGCAUCAGAGACGAGCCCUUCCCCAAAGGGUUCACGCUCCCCCGAGAUACGCCCAAGUACACCGGCUCCGUGAAGCCGGAGGAUUGGUUGAUAGACUACUCCACAGCCGUCAACAUCGCCAACGGCAACAAGCGGGUUGCCGUAAAAUAUGUUCCCCUCAUGCUCCAGGGCACGGCUCUGACAUGGCUGAACAGCCUGAAGCCCCGCAGCAUCAACAGCUGGGUCGACUUCACUAAAGCCUUCAUUCGCAACUUCACCAGCACGUACAAGCGACCUCCCAAGCCGCGCCAGCUCUCCUUGUGCGUGCAAGGCCCCGAAUAAUCGACGCGCGACUACCUCACGCGCUGGGGCGAACUCCGAAACUCCUGCAAGGGCAUGCACGAGGUGCAGGCCAUUGAGUACUUUACGGCCGGGUGCCGAGAGGGAACCCUCCUCAAGCACAAGCUCCUCUGCGACGAGCCCGAAACCCUCGACGAACUGCUAAUCAUAGCAGACAAGUACGCCACGGCCGACUCCUCUAUGAAGACGGAGAUCCAAGUCAACGCGGCUGGCAAAGUGACUCCCCAGGCCCCCAGAACCCCGGCUGGAGACGCCAGCCGGCGACAGCAACAGAAUGACAACAAGCGCAAAGCCCCCCAGCCGACUUCCAAUAGUCGGCAAGUCGCAGCAGUAGAAGAUCAGCAACCAGAGGGGCAGCCUCCGGCCAAGCGGCAGAACGGCGGCAAGUCCAAUUGGUUGCCGGCCUUCUCCUAUGAGCAGACUCUGGAUGGUCCUUGCAAGUUUCACAGCGGCGCAAAGCCGUCGAACCACACCACCAGAAAGUGCCACUGGCUCGUCAGGAUCGCCAAGGGGGACGGCCUCGCCCCCCUGCCGCCUGCGGGGCCGCCGCCGCCUCCGCCGCCUCCGCAGCCGACGGCUCGGCCAGUCGGCGCAGUCCAAGACGAGUUCCAGAAGAGCACGGAGCAUACGUUGUGUUCACCAGUCUGGCAGAUGAUCGGCACAGCAGGCGCCAGCAGCAGCAAGAAGUCAACGCAGUGGCAGUAGAAGCUCCCGAGUUCAUGCAUUGGUCCGAGAAGCCUAUCAGCUGGAGUCGGGUAGAUCACCCAGAGGUGAUGCCGAGUCUGGGCUCUUACGCCUUGGUUCUCGGAGCAACCUUGGCCGCUGAUAGGCGGGCCGCUCGUUUCUCGCGGGUCCUGAUAGACGGAGGCAGCAGCAUAAACAUCUUAUACAAGGAUACCAUGGAGAAGCUCGGAAUCAGGCGGAGGCAGCUGCAGAGCAGCCGCACCGUGUUCCUUGGAAUCGUACCCGGCCUCUCCUAUUCGCCGAUUGGCAAGAUCCUGAUAGACGUCCUCUUCGGAGACAAAGAUCACUUCCGCCGAGAGCCAAUCUGGUUCGAGGUGGUGGAUUUGGAGAGCCCGUACCACGCGCUGCUAGGUCGGCCUGCCCUAGCCAAAUUCAUGGCGGUUCCCCACUACGCCUACCUCAAGAUGAAGAUGCCGACUUCCAAGGGGAUCCUGACCAUUGCCGGCGACUACAAGAAGUCGUCCGCCUGUGCGGCCGAGAGCAGUCGGCUGGCCGAGUCUUUGGUGAUCGCAGCCGAGAAGCGGCUCCUUGAUCGUGUCGUGGCGAUGGCUGGGAAGCAGCCGGAGAUGUCGCCUGACCCCAAGGAGUCGGAGGCAGAAGGAUCAUUCAAGCCGGCUAAAGAAACCAAGAAGAUACCCUUGGACCCGGAGCACCCAGAGAGGUACGCUGUCAUGGGCACUGGCCUCGACAGCAAAUAGGAAGGCGAGCUCGUCGAUUUCCUCCGUGAGAAUCGGGACAUCUUCGCGUGGUCCCCCAAGGACAUGCCAGGUGUACCGACGGAAUUCGCCGAGCACAAGCUACAUGUCAGGCCGGAUGUGAAGCCCGUCAGGCAGCCUUUGCGCCGCCUGUCAGAAGAGAAGAGAAGAGUCAUAGGAGAAGAGAUAGCCCGACUCCUGGCAGCCGGCUUCAUCAUGGAUGUGUUUUUUCCAGAGUGGUUGGCCAACCCUGUGCUGGUACUGAAGAAGAAUAAGCAGUGGCGGAUGUGCAUUGAUUACACCAGCCUCAACAAAGCCUGCCCAAAGGACCCGUUUGCUCUGCCAAGGAUCGAUCAAGUGAUAGACUCCACAGCCGGAUGCGAGCUGUUGAGCUUCUUGGAUGCAUACUCAGGAUAUCAUCAGAUCAAGCUGAAUCCAGCAGACAGACUGAAGACCGCAUUCAUCACGCCGUUUGGAGCCUUCUGCUACCUGACGAUGACGUUCGGCUUGAGGAAUGCCGGUGCCACCUUUCAGCGUUGCAUGCAGAAGUGCCUCCUCAAGCAACUCGGCAGGAACGCCCAUGUUUAUGUAGAUGAUGUGGUGGUAAAGACAGAGAAGCGUGGGACGCUGCUAGAAGAUCUCAAAGAGACCUUUGAGAAUCUGCGCCGAUUCCAGAUCAAGCUCAAUCCAGAGAAAUGCGUGUUCGGAGUCCCAGCCGGCCAGCUCCUUGGUUUUCUGGUCUCCGAACGCGGCAUAGAGUGCAACCCUGUGAAGAUCAAGGCCAUUGAGAGGAUGGAGGUACCCAGCCGACUGUUGGAUGUACAGAAGUUCACCGGCUGCUUGGCUUCAAUAAGCCGAUUCAUCAGUCGGCUGGGCGAGAAAGCUCUGCCGUUGUAUCAAUUGAUGAAGAAGACCACUUUUUUUGAGUGGAACCACAAGGCAGAUGAGGCAUUUCUCCAACUGAAGAAGAUGUUGACGACUCCCCCUGUGUUGGCGGCUCCGACUCCCAAAGAGCCCAUGCUCCUAUACAUCGCCGCUACCAGCCGGGUAGUCAGCACAGUUAUUGUAGUCGAACGCAAGGAGGAAGGCAAGGCGCUCCCGGUCCAGAGACCAGUAUAUUACCUGAGCGAGGUACUGUCGACCGCCAAGCAGAACUACCCUCACUACUAGAAGAUGUGCUACGGCGUGCAUUUUGCCGCCAAGAAGCUAAAGCCCUACUUUCAAGAGCAUCCUAUCACCGUGGUCUGCACCGCCCCACUCGCCGAGAUCAUCGGAAGUCGAGAUGCUUCCGGCCGAGUGGCCAAGUGGGCUAUCGAUCUAGCUCCCUACACCAUCUACUACCAACCUCGCACCGCCAUCAAGUCGCAGGCGCUAGCCGACUUCCUCGUCGACUGGGCCGAGACUCAAUACUUGCCGCCCGCGCCCGACUCUACUCAUUGGCGACUGCACUUCGACGGCUCCAAGAUGCGCUCCGGCCUCGGAGCCGGCAUCGUCCUCACCUCCCCCAAGGGCGACAAGCUCAAAUACGUGCUGCAAAUCCACUUCGCCGCCUCCAACAACGUCGCCGAAUAUGAAGCGCUCAUCCACGGGCUCCGGCUUGCCAAAGAACUCGGCAUUCGCCGGAUCCUGUGCUAUGGUGACUCCGACUUGGUGGUUCAGCAAUCAUCCGGCGACUGGGACGCCAAAGACGCAAACAUGGCAAGCUACCGCUUCUUGGUGCAGCAACUCAGCGGAUAUUUUGAAGGAUGCGAAUUCCUCCACGUGCCAAGAAACGACAACGAUCAAGCAGACGCAUUGGCGCGAGUCGGCUCCACUCGCCAGGCGAUACCUUCCGGCGUCGCCCUUCAGCGCCUCCUCAAGCCGUCUAUCAAGCCUACACCAGAAUCCGACUCCAUUUUCGUGCCGGCUCCCCCAGAGAUAGUCGGAUCCGACUCCAAGACCCCAGCAAGCGACCUCAAGAAAGCCACAGUCGGCCCGGGGAGUGCGCCAGUCGGCCCGGGGACUGCGCCAGUCGGCCCAGGGACUGCGUCAGUCGGCCCGGGGACUUCAGAGCCUGACCCAGGGACUGCGUCAGUCGGCCCGGGAGCUGCCCCAGUCGGCCCAGAGAUUCCCUCAAUUCAGCAAGCGGCAGCAGAAUCCAACCCGCCGCCUCCCAGCCCAGCCGCCCUUGUCCAAGUCGCUGUGGUGGCAGUUGAAGAGAUAGCAGCACCUUCAUGGGCGCAGCCCAUCCUCAAGUUCCUAGUAAACAAGGAGUUACCUGCAGACGAGACUCUGGCUCGGCAAGUACAACGCCGAGCGGCAGCCUACACCAUAGUCAACAGAGAGUUAGUCAGACGCAGCGUCACUGGUGCCCACCAGCGCUGCGUAGAAUCAGAGCAAGGCCAAGCGAUCCUCAGAGACAUCCAUCAGGGCGAGUGUGGCCACCAUGCGGCCUCGAGGGCGCUCGUGGCCAAAGCCUUUCGGCACGGUUUCUUUUGGCCGACUGGCCUGGAAGAAGCUAAAGAACUAGUCAAGAAGUGCAAGGGGUGCCAGGUGUUCCGCUCCAAGCCCCUUCAGCCGGCUUCUGCGCUGAAGACAAUCCCCAUCACCUGGCCCUUCGCAGUUUGGGGCCUGGACAUGGUGGGACCUUUCAAGACGGCCCGAGGCGGCCUAACUCAUUUGCUUGUCGCAGUGGACAAGUUCACCAAGUGGGUAGAAGCAAAGCCCAUCAAGAAAUUAAACGGGCCCACAGCAGUGACCUUCAUUGCCGACAUCACAGUGCGAUAUGGCAUACCGCACAGCAUCAUCACAGACAACGGCACCAACUUCGCCAAAGGAGCCUUGGCUCGUUUCUGCGCGACGCAGGGCAUCCGACUGGACCUAGCGUCCGUUGCCCAUCCGCAGUCAAACGGCCAGGUGGAACGAGCCAACGGCCUCAUCCUGUCCGGCAUCAAGCCUCGAUUGGUCGAACCACUCGAGCGCUCGGCCGGCUGUUGGGUAGAAGGGCUGCCUGCCGUCCUCUGGAGCCUGCGCACGACCCCGAACAGGUCAACCGGCUUUACGCCGUUCUUCCUCGUCUACGGUGCCGAAGCCGUCAUCCCGACGGAUAUACAAUUCGACUCUCCGCGAGUCUCUAUGUACACCGAAGAGGAGGCUGAAGAAGCACGCCAAGACGGUGUCGACCUGCUGGAAGAGGGCCGACUGUUGGCACUCAGUCGGUCCAGCAUCUACCAGCAGAGUCUGCGCCGAUACUACAACCGCAAGGUCAAGCCAAGAUCAUUCCAAGAGGGCGACCUUGUGCU
rnacentral:lncRNA from 1 species